AUUGAACGCUGGCGGCAGGCCUAACACAUGCAAGUCGAACGAGUGGCGGACGGGUGAGUAAUGUCUGGGAAACUGCCUGAUGGAGGGGGCUGACUGCUGGACAAGGUAGCUAAUACCGCCAACCAUCAGAUUUGCUCAGAUGGGAUUAGCUGGUUGGUGGGGUACCGGCUCACCAAGGCGACGAUCCCUAGCCGGUCUGAGAGGAAGACCAGCCACAAUGGAACUGAGACACGGUCCAGACUCCUACGGGAGGCAGCAGUGGGGAAUAUUGCACAAUGGGCGCCAGCCUGAUGCAGCCAUGCCGCGUGUAUGAAGAAGGCCUUCGGGUUGUAAAGUACUUUCAGCGGGGAGGCGUUAACCGCAGAAGAAGCACCGGCUAACUCCGUGCCAGCAGCCGCGGUAAUUC
rnacentral:rRNA from 1 species